CAUAUAUUUCAUCUUUUAGUACUGUGAUUUUGUUAUGUUAUAAAGUCAACUUUGCUAUAUAAAAAUUAUAGAAUCUGAAGCGAGAUGAUGUAUCAAAUAUUCUUGCUUUGUACGUUUUCAAGACAAAAUAUUCAUCUCAAACACACCUUAACAUAAGAAGGUGCACUCGCUUUUCUAAUAAAAGGGAUAAAUUAAGUAGGGGGGAAAUGACUUAAUUCAUCCCGUUUAUUUAUUAUGUCCAUUGUUAUUGAAUAUUGCGCACUUUGGAUUAAUUUUUGCUUGUAAACUUUCAAACUGAUUAUUCUUUGUUUAUAGAGAAGGCGAUAAAUGCUUUCUGUAAUGUUUACUAUAGUAACAUUUGCAUAAGUUUUCAAUUUAUCUAUUACAUAAUUAAGCAGACAAUUAGAUAUCGAGUCGAAGUCAUGGUUAUCUAUCAAGUUGGAUGAAGAAAAUGCAUAACCUCCGAUUUUUUUUAAAUUACCACGGACGGAGAACAUUUCAAUCUAUAAGUUCAGUUAUUUCCGUGUCUGCCCUUCCGAUUAUGUGACUCAAGAACAAAAAUCAAAAAAUUGGUAACAAUUGUAUCAAAAAGAGAAAAUCGAGUGCACCUUCUUAUGUUAGUGUGUGUUUGAGAUGAAUAUUUUGUCUUGAAAACGUACAAAGCAAGAACAUUUGAUACAUCAUCUCGCUUCAGAUUUUUAUUUAUAUAGCAAAGCUACAGGUUGUAGGGUCAAAUGAAAUACCUAUGUAAUGAAUUACAAAAUCAGAGUAGGUGUGUUCGAAUAGCUAUUUUGUUUUACUAAAAGUACUUGACGACAGUAUUUUAAGUUGGAUGGUGAAAAUGCAUAUCUUCGAGAAAAAAAAAAUCUUUUUUUGGCUUCCAUUUCUACGAUUGCGCUUUAUAUUUGUCAUCCUGUGAUGUUUUAAAAUUGAGUGUCCUUAACCUCAAACAUAACGCCCAAUAAAAUUAAAGUAUGAUGUAUACAAGCUGAAGCCCCGCCUAUCUUAAUUGCCAUGCUUGAGCAAACAUUGAUACAAACAAAGCAAGCAAGCCAAACAAAGAUUUGUCUUGCUAGCAUUAAUGUAAAAGCUGUAAGA
rnacentral:lncRNA from 1 species